UACGGGGGGGGGCAAGCGUUGUUCGGAAUUACUGGGCGUAAAGGGCUCGUAGGUGGCCAACUAAGUCAGACGUGAAAUCCCUCGGCUUAACCGGGGAACUGCGUCUGAUACUGGAUGGCUUGAGUUCGGGAGAGGGAUGCGGAAUUCCAGGUGUAGCGGUGAAAUGCGUAGAUAUCUGGAGGAACACCGGUGGCGAAGGCGGGUCUCUGGGCGAGU
rnacentral:rRNA from 1 species